rnacentral:pre_miRNA from 10 species
GUGGCUCCAGCUUCAUAGGAAGGCUCUUGUCUGUCAGGCAGUGGAGUUACUUACAGACAAGAGCCUUGCUCAGGCCAGCCC